rnacentral:rRNA from 1 species
GGGGAAUAACACCGGGAAACUGGUGCUAAUACCGCAUAACAUCCUCGGUUCGCUCCGAGGAUCAAAGCUGGGGACCGUAAGGCCUGGCGCUUGAAGAGGAGCCCGCGUCCGAUUAGCUAGUUGGCGGGGUAAUGGCCCACCAAGGCUUCGAUCGGUAGCCGGCCUGAGAGGGCGGACGGCCACACUGGAACUGAGACACGGUCCAGACUCCUACGGGAGGCAGCAGUGGGGAAUUUUUGUCAAUGGGGGAAACCCUGAACAAGCAACGCCGCGUGGAGGAUGAAGGCCCUCGGGUCGUAAACUCCUGUCGAUCGGGAAGAAUGCGUCCGGCCUAAUACGCCGGCACGUUGACUGUACCGGUGGAGGAAGCCACGGCUAACUCUGUGCCAGCAGCCGCGGUAAGACAGAGGUGGCAAGCGUUGUUCGGAAUUACUGGGCGUAAAGGGCGCGCAGGCGGCCCGUCAAGUCCCGUGUGAAAGCCCCCGGCUCAACUGGGGAACUGCGCGGGAAACUAGCGGGCUUGAGUUCGGGAGAGGGAAGCGGAAUUCCGGGUGUAGCGGUGAAAUGCGCAGAUAUCCGGAGGAACACCAGUGGCGAAGGCGGCUUCCUGGACCGACACUGACGCUGAGGCGCGAAAGCCAGGGGAGCGAACGGGAUUAGAUACCCCGGUAGUCCUGGCCCUAAACGUUUGAGCACUGGGUGUAGGGGGUGUAAACCCCCCCCUGUGCCGAAGCUAACGCAUUAAGUGCU